UGACCCCGUGCGGGAGAGACCGUGCCGACCCCGGCACGGCGCCGAAGGAGCAACCCCUCCCCGACAACCUCUCAGGCUAUUGGGACCGUACGGGCGAG
rnacentral:ncRNA from 2 species